GAUGAACGCUGGCGGCGUGCUUAACACAUGCAAGUCGAACGAAGCAUAUUGGAAAGAGUUUUUCGGAACAAUUGAAGAUGUGACUUAGUGGCGGACGGGUGAGUAACGCGUGGGUAACCUGCCUCACACUGGGGGAUAACAGUUAGAAAUGACUGCUAAUACCGCAUAAGCGCACAGUAUCUCAUGAUACAGUGUGAAAAACUCCGGUGGUGUGAGAUGGACCCGCGUCUGAUUAGCUAGUUGGUAGUGUAAUGGACUACCAAGGCGACGAUCAGUAGCCGGCCUGAGAGGGUGAACGGCCACAUUGGGACUGAGACACGGCCCAGACUCCUACGGGAGGCAG
rnacentral:rRNA from 1 species